GGUAAGAUGGCUGAAUGUUUAAGCGUUGGGCUGUAGACUCUUUUAUAGAGGUUCAAUUCCUCUUCUUAUCA
rnacentral:tRNA from 1 species